rnacentral:misc_RNA from 1 species
GAUGAAGAACGUAGCGAAAUGCGAUAAGUAAUGUGAAUUGCAGAAUUCAGUGAAUCAUCGAAUCUUUGAACGCACAUUGCGCCCGCUAGUAUUCUGGCGGGCAUGCCUGUCCGAGCGUCAUUUCAACCCUCAAGCCCCCGGGCUUGGUGUUGGGGAUCGGCCUCCGCAUCGGACGGCCGCCCCCGAAACCCAGUGGCGGUCCCCCCGCGGCCUUCUCUGCGUAGUAGCAUACACCUCGCACUGGAGAGCGGCGCGGCCACGCCGUAAAAGAAACGAACUUUCUCAAGGUUGACCUCGGAUCAGGUAGGAAUACCCGCUGAACUUAAGCAUAUCAAUAAGCGGAGGA